AUGGCUUACGCAUCGCAAAUUAUCAACCAUUCUAAAAAGUUAAGAAGUGCUCCAAAGUUACUUCGGCAAGCUAGCGUGGUUCGCUGGUUUUCAGAGGAUGUGCAGUCCUCUAUUGUUAAGGACAAUGAAAUCUGGAAGAUCCAGGGUCGUGGUUACCAGGCUUGGGAAAAGGGGGGAAUCAAGAACUAUGCCAAUUUUAACAACAGAUCGCACUUUCUACAAUGUCAAAGAGGUGUUUCAAUGAUGACGACAAGUAUUGGGAAUCCCUUUUCUGGUUCACGAAUUAACGCUAUGAGAGGUUUCUCCUCUGAUUCAGGUCUUCCCCCACAUCAAGAGGUUGGAAUGCCUUCGCUGUCCCCUACAAUGACAGAGGGCAAUAUUGCAAGGUGGUUGAAAAAAGAGGGUGAUAAAAUUUCUCCUGGGGAAGUGCUUUGCGAAGUUGAAACGGAUAAAGCAACAGUAGAAAUGGAAUGCAUGGAGGAAGGUUAUCUUGCCAAGAUAAUUUGUGGGGAUGGAGCAAAGGAAAUUAAAGUUGGUGAGGUAAUUGCCAUUACUGUUGAAGAUGAAGAGGAUAUAGCAAAGUUUAAAGAUUAUAAACCCACUUCAUCAAAUACUGGUGCUCCAGCUGCUGCGGAGAAAUCUGCCCCUAGUCCACCAAAGAAAGAAGUAGUUGAAGAACCUGUUCGUUCAUCUGAGCCAAAGACUGUUAAGCAGAGUCCUCCUCCUCCAGUUGGAGAGCGUAUUUUUGCUAGUCCUCUGGCAAGAAAAUUAGCAGAAGAAAACAAUGUGCCCAUUUCAAGUAUCAAAGGAACAGGUCCUGAUGGGAGCAUUGUGAAGGCUGAUAUAGAAGAUUACUUGGCUUCACGUGGGAAGGAAUCAACAGCUCCCAAAGCCAAGGAUGCAGCAGGUGCACCAUUGGAUUAUAGUGAUAUCCCACACACUCAAAUUAGAAAGGUUACAGCAUCACGAUUACUAUUCUCAAAGCAAACCAUUCCUCAUUAUUAUUUAACAGUAGAUACAUGCGUUGACAAGCUCAUGGAUUUGAGAAACCAGCUAAAUGCACUACAAGAAGCAUCUGGUGGAAAGAGGAUCUCUGUCAAUGACCUUGUUAUUAAGGCUGCUGCCUUGGCUCUUAGGAAAGUCCCUCAAUGCAACAGUUCAUGGACGGACAAUUAUAUUAGACAGUAUCACAACGUGAAUAUUAAUGUUGCAGUGCAGACUGAUAACGGACUCUUUGUACCAGUCAUCAGGGAUGCAGACAAAAAAGGUUUAUCUACUAUUUCGGAUGAGGUAAAGAAAUUAGCUCAGAAAGCAAGAGAUAACAGCUUAAAACCAGAAGAUUAUGAGGGAGGCACUUUUACCGUGUCUAACUUGGGAGGUCCAUUUGGAAUCAAACAAUUUUGUGCCAUUAUCAACCCUCCACAGUCGGGCAUUCUUGCUGUUGGAUCUGCUGAGAAGAGGGUCAUACCAGGAUCAGGCGCUGAAGAAUUCAAGUUUGCUUCCUUCAUGUCUGUUACACUGAGCUGCGAUCACCGCGUUAUUGAUGGGGCAAUUGGUGCAGAUUGGCUCAAAGCAUUCAAGGGUUACAUCGAGAAUCCUGAAUCAAUGUUGCUAUAGAUUGAUUGAUUUCACCAUUUUCAUACCAAAAAGCAAAAAAAGACUUUUCCAUUGGUCCAUUGCCAGAUCAAUAAAAGAUAGACGACGAAGAGGAAAAUUUGUCUCCAUCGGUCACAAUUUUAGAAGUUUGAUAAAUAGAAGGCAAGGAGCCAUUGCUUUGUUGCAGAGCUUAUCAAUGGGGUUAUGAUUUAGCCGAAAGAUAUGACAUUGCAAGUUGGGAAUGACAGAGAUUCAGGCACGAAAUGCAGAGAUUGGUUUGGGAUGCGCAUGCAGUGUAUUUGGGGUGCAUGAAAAUGUGUGCCCAAUUAAUUUAGUUGAAAAACUAAAAGGAUAAUGCUUUAAACGCCAAUCUCUCACAUUCCAUUUUGUACUUACACCUAAAGCUGCAAAACAUAAUCAUCAAUGAGCUCAAGAAAAUAAAGUUAUGCA